CUGCGCAGAGUUUCCUCUGAGAGCACAAAAUACUCUCUCAUCCAGGUGGCGGAGUCAGAAACGCCACCUUGAUUUUGGUGUCUGCUGGGAAAAACUGCUGCACCCCCUGUUCCUGAGUGAGAUUGGAUGUGAAUGGGCUCAAAGCACAGGAUGUUCUCUCAGACAGCACCAGGGCAGAAGAGUCCUAACUCAGAAUCACCCGGGCACUUGAGGAAACGUAUUACUUUAUCCAUUGCACUGAAGCAGUUACAAUUACUUAAAAAAAAAAAAAAAAGAAUUACUGCUUAAAUGCAAGAAGUAGCAUCCU